rnacentral:rRNA from 1 species
UGGGGAAUUUUGGACAAUGGGCGAAAGCCUGAUCCAGCAAUGCCGCGUGUGUGAAGAAGGCCUUCGGGUUGUAAAGCACUUUUGUCCGGAAAGAAAUCCUCUGGGUUAAUACCUCGGGGGGAUGACGGUACCGGAAGAAUAAGCACCGGCUAACUACGUGCCAGCAGCCGCGGUAAUACGUAGGGUGCAAGCGUUAAUCGGAAUUACUGGGCGUAAAGCGUGCGCAGGCGGUUUGCUAAGACCGAUGUGAAAUCCCCGGGCUCAACCUGGGAACUGCAUUGGUGACUGGCAGGCUAGAGUAUGGCAGAGGGGGGUAGAAUUCCACGUGUAGCAGUGAAAUGCGUAGAGAUGUGGAGGAAUACCGAUGGCGAAGGCAGCCCCCUGGGCCAAUACUGACGCUCAUGCACGAAAGCGUGGGGAGCAAACAGGAUUAGAUACCCUGGUAGUCCACGCCCUAAACGAUGUCAACUAGUUGUUGGGGAUUCAUUUCCUUAGUAACGUAGCUAACGCGUGAAGUUGACCGCCUGGGGAGUACGGUCGCAAGAUUAAAACUCAAAUGAAUUGACGGGGUCAUAGCUGUUUCCU